rnacentral:rRNA from 1 species
UACGAAGGUCCCAAGCGUUAUCCGGAUUUAUUGGGUUUAAAGGGUGCGUAGGCGGGUUAUUAAGUCAGUGGUGAAAGCUCCCGGCUCAACCGGGAAAUUGCCAUUGAUACUGAUGAUCUUGAGUGCGGUUGAGGUGGGCGGAAUGUGUCAUGUAGCGGUGAAAUGCUUAGAUAUGACACAGAACACCGAUUGCGAAGGCAGCUCACUAAGCCACAACUGACGCUGAUGCACGAAAGCGUGGGGAGCAAACAGG